rnacentral:lncRNA from 1 species
UGGGGAAGAGGGACUGAGAAAAAGGGUUGUGCCAGUGCUGAAAUUCUAGGUUCCCUGAUUUCUGGAACAUGGUUUAAAAGGAGGGAAACAGGCUCUAGGGAGACAUGUCUCCUUGACAACUUGGACCCCUUACCCUAUGAGGAGGGUCAUGGCCAGAGAAGGACCAGAGGGAGAAAAACCACUCUUAAUGCUGGGACCCAAGGCGGGGUCCCCUCUUGCCCAGGUCUAAGGUUGGUAUUGGUCUGUGCUGCGGAUUAUUCCUAUCGACUGAGCCUCACUGGUGCCGUUUGAUAUAUUGCAUUGUUGAGUGCCAAGCUUGGAAUUUUCCUUGCUGAGCAAGUUCUUUUGUGGUACUUGUGAACUACUGUCAAGUCUGCUCUGAGAGCUUUCCCAACUGUGAGCAAAACCGUGAAAUCCUUGACAACAGGAAGAGUGAUGGUUUACUAAACUUGAACUGAGACACUUCCCCUUUUGCAUUUCGAGCACGUAGAGGCCUAGACCUCCAGAAUUUUUUUUCUUUUUCUUUCCUUUUUCUUUUUUGUCAGAGCUACAGAAAAAAUCCUCAGUCUUUCCUUAAAUGCCUCCAACCCAGAUUAUCUCUAUGAUGAAAUCAGGGACAUACUAUGGUUUAUAAAUAGCAAAGAGGACAGAUGAUUUUCUCCUUGCUCCUUCUUCCUUUUCCCCUGUUUCUUCUCUGCAUUUGUGACACCUUGAAGGCUCCAAAGUCCUGAGAAAAUUCACAUCUCCCAUGACUAGGUAUCAGUGGAAGCUUUCUUGUAGGAAAGGGGAUCUCCGAGUGGACUACAUUUGUGCUGUUAGUGUUGUAUAGAGAAAAGGUGAGGUCCGCAGGUACCACCUUGUUUGUUUUGUAGCCAGCCAAGGUUGAAUUUGUAGCCGUCUUUCUUUCCUUUGAAGUUCAGCUGCUGCUUCAACAAGAAAGGAAGGCUUAGAUCCUGGACCAACCUGAAAGAUUGAUUGUGUUACCGGGAUUCAUGUCAUAUCUACCAGCAGUGUUAAGAGAUGAGUUUCACACAAAAGGCGAAUGUGUCAUGAUUCUUUAGCAAGAUCCAUAAAAAUAAACCCAGCAAGAAGACUAUUUCCAAGUCAAAAGUCCCAGAAGUCAAGAAACUCAGACUUUGAAUUCGAGAUAGUGAUCUUAGCAUACUGUUUAAUCUUUUUCUAAAUUGAAGUGUAGCUGAUUUAAAAUGUUGUGUUAGUUUCAGGUGUUCAGCAAAGUGAUUCAGUUAUGCAUAUGUAUAUAUCCAUUCUUUUUCAGAUUCUUUUCCUUUCUAGGUUAUUAAAAAAAUACUGAGCAGAGUUUCCUUUGCUAUACAGUAGGUCUUUGUUGGUUAUCUAUUUUAUAUGUAGUAGUGUGUAUCUGCUAAUCCUAAACUCCUAUUUGAUCCCUCCCCCAACCCUUUCCCCCUUUGGUAACCAUAGAUUUGUUUUCUACGUCUGUGGGUCUAUUUGUUUUGUAUAUAUGUUCCUUUGUGUCAUUUUUUUCAAAACCUUCUCCUCUUCCAAACUUAAGUGGAGUCAAUAAAAAAAAAAAAGUCCAAUGAGAGGAUUUAUGCACUAUAUUAACAGUGGUAACUAGGAAAGGUGCUACCUACAAGUCAGAAACUUUGAGGAUUGUUUUGCAGGGUACAAAUAGGUGAAUCUGGAUUAAUGAUCCAUGAGAGGAGACUGUCUGGGAAGUACAUGGAAAAGAACUUCAGCCGCAUUCCCAGAGUGGCAGAAUUGAAGACCAUAGUGGUGUAGCAGAGGCUUUAAAGUUCCAUUCAGAUCCUCUUUGCCAUCCUCCAGCUGCUACAGUAACAUUACUCUCUAGAGGACUGCCCUCCAGGGAUGGGAGCAUGGGUGUCAAGUGGUGAUACCUGAGGGGUUACUUGCCAUCAUUCCCCUGCCUGCCCCGUGAAAGCUGCCUGCCCAAGGCUGACCAAAGCACAGGCAUAAUGGUUUAGUUGCCUUUGCCUCUGAGAAGGACAACCUCUGUGGUAUAACUCAUGCCCUGGGGCGCUCAGUGACAUCAAGCUGAGUCACACUUCAGCUGAAACCACUCCUUUGCCCAGCUCCUUUGCUGCCCUUUUCUGUUUACCUCCCUUCUUAAAGACUUUUCCCCUGAGGGCACUUCCUCUGUAAGUCACUGGCGUAGGAGUCCUUAUCUUAGGCGAGGCUCUUAGGAAAACUGCCCUAAAACAGUGAUCUUGGAGUGGUCUGAGGAAGCACGCCCUAAGGAAGGGAGUCUAGAGUUGCAUCACUUGCUAUUGGUGAUGAAGACCCCAUCACUCAGGGUAGAGGCUGUGUACCAUCUACCCUGAUGAUGCUGGAAUGCUGUAGCCAUGUAAUCAUUGAUACUUUGUGGUGAGCAGGUAGAAGAAAUAGACUAGGUUGAGCAAUGUCUCUGCCUUCCUAGCACUCAUUGCUAUUUAAAAUGAUCUUGUUUGUAUCUUUGUUUUCAUGUGUAUUGUUUGUUUUCUACUAGAACAGAAACCACCACACCCAAGACCUUGUCCAUUGUGUUCACUCAUGUUUCCCCAGCACCUACAAGAGGGACUGGAAUCUGACCAAUUUGACUAUGAAUGAAUAAAAUGAAUGAAUAAAAAAUGAAUGAAUGAAUCAAAAAUUAAUGGAUGGGUUGGAGGAAGCAAUGACUGAAAAGAUUUAUUACUAGGUGGAGUGGUCAAAAUACUUACUGAUAGGGCCCAGACGCUGACAACAGAAAGACCACCAUCCAUUGGACUCGAAUGCCAGAUGACAACGCUUUAGUUAGUAGAUCCAGGGAAACAGUUUCAAGAGUUUAGCCAAGAAGAAUGGUUUCCAGUCUACUGCAUCCUUCUUUUGUUUCCUGUGUUCUGUUUUCCGUCAGCAAGGCUCCAUCUGCUUUCUGUCUCCCAGAAAGGUAUCAAAAUCUAGAGUCCACUGAGACCCCAGGUGGCGAGGCAAACAUGUGUGUUCUGUCUCCCGUCUUGAACAGGAAGCCCAUCCAAACAUGGAAAAAA